UACGUAGGGACCGAGCGUUGUCCGGAAUCAUUGGGCGUAAAGAGCGUGUAGGCGGCUGACCAAGUCCUGCGUGAAAUCUUGCGGCUCAACCGCAAGCGGUCGUGGGAAACUGGUCGGCUAGAGUCCGGAAGAGGAGAGUGGAAUUCCUGGUGUAGCGGUGAAAUGCGCAGAUAUCAGGAAGAACACCAUGGCGAAGCAGCUCUCUGGGACGGUACUGACGCUGAGCGCGAAAGCGUGGGGAGCAACAGGG
rnacentral:rRNA from 1 species